rnacentral:rRNA from 1 species
GACGAACGCUGGCGGCGUGCUUAACACAUGCAAGUCGAACGGAAAGGCCCUGCUUUUGUGGGGUGCUCGAGUGGCGAACGGGUGAGUAACACGUGAGUAACCUGCCCUUGACUUUGGGAUAACUUCAGGAAACUGGGGCUAAUACCGGAUAGGAGCUCCUGCUGCAUGGUGGGGGUUGGAAAGUUUCGGCGGUUGGGGUUGGACUCGCGGCUUAUCAGCUUGUUGGUGGGGUAGUGGCUUACCAAGGCUUUGACGGGUAGCCGGCCUGAGAGGGUGACCGGCCACAUUGGGACUGAGAUACGGCCCAGACUCCUACGGGAGGCAGCAGUGGGGAAUAUUGCACAAUGGGCGGAAGCCUGAUGCAGCAACGCCGCGUGCGGGAUGACGGCCUUCGGGCUGUAACCCGCUUUCGCCUGUGACGAAGCGUGAGUGACGGUAAUGGGUAAAGAAGCACCGGCUAACUACGUG